ACUGUCCUUGAAGUGAGUAGGUAUGGCUGUUGUGUUACAUUGUUUCAGUAUGGCAGAGAUGAGAGAGGAUAUGUCUAUGCUCAUUUUUCUGACCUCUGAACAUCUGAAUGAUUAGGAACCUAAAAUU
ensembl:snoRNA Gm23274 small nucleolar RNA SNORA17